rnacentral:lncRNA from 1 species
GCGCCGGCGCUGCCGCCGGGGACCGUUCGUCUUCCACGUGAUCGACGUGUGAAUCUGAUGUGCCUUUCGAUCAUAUCUAUGGUUUGAUUAUGAACGAAUAAUUGACCAAAUCUGCUUGCCCCGUUGGUUUGGUUUGUCCGUGUAUUGUACUUCGAUUUGAUUAACCCUGUGACUAUGUUGUACUAUACUGAUACGAUUUUCAAUCGAUCGGUUGAUUUAUGUUUCGAAGAUUGUUAAUUUGUUCAUCUGUUCGCCAUUUUUGUGCCUCAAUUCGCGCGUGCCAGACCGCAGACCGCGCACUGGCCGAGCUCGCAAACAUGGGCUUUCUCACGGCUGCACACGCAGCCGCAGAUGGGCCAGCACCACCACUAAAGGCCUUCUGGUCACUUGAUGUGUUUGCUUGACCUAUAUAGGCCGCGUUCACUGCCCGGGG